UAUUUAUUAGAUAAAAAACCAAUGCCCUUCGGGGCUCCUUGGUGAUUCAUAAUAACUUAACGAAUCGCAUGGCCUUGCGCCGGCGAUGGUUCAUUCAAAUUUCUGCCCUAUCAACUUUCGAUGGUAAGAUAGUGGCUUACCAUGGUCUCAACGGGUAACGGGGAAUUAGGGUUCUAUUCCGGAGAGGGGGCCUGAGAAACGGCUACCACAUCCAAGGAAGGCAGCAGGCGCGCAAAUUACCCAAUCCCAAUUCGGGGAGGUAGUGACAAUAAAUACUGAUACGGGGCUCUUUCGGGUCUCGUAAUUGGAAUGAGUACAAUCUAAAUCCCUUAACGAGGAACAAUUGGAGGGCAAGUCUGGUGCCAGCAGCCGCGGUAAUUCCAGCUCCAAUAGCGUAUAUUAAAGUUGUUGCCGUUAAAAAGCUCGUAGUUGAACCUUGGACCUGGCUGAUCUGUCCUCCUAAUCGAGCGCACGGAUUCGGUCGGGUCUUUCCUUCUGGGGAGCCCUAUGCCCUUCACUGGGUGUAGUGGGGAACCAGGACUUUUACCUUGAAAAAAUUAGAGUGUUCAAAGCAGG
rnacentral:rRNA from 1 species